rnacentral:tRNA from 1 species
GGGGCUGUAGCUCAGUUGGCUAGAGCACCUGCUUUGCAAGCAGGGGUCGGGGUUCGAUUCCCCCAGCUCCAC